UUUUUUUUUUUUUUUUUUUUAAGUAGAGACGGAGUUUCACCGUGUUAGCCAGAAUGGCCUCCAUCUCCUGACCUCGUGACCUGCCCGCCUCGGCCUCCCGAAGUGCUGGGAUAACAGGCGUGAGCCACCGCGCCCGGCCGAGGUGUUCUUUCUAUGUCAGUGGUUCUCAACCUUGACCGCAUGUUAGAGUCGUUAGAGGAGCUUAAAAUGUCCAGACUGUGCCCCAGAGCAGAAUCCCUCGGGAUAGGGUCGAUGGAUUAGGACUUUUUUUAAGCUGAUAAUUUUAUAUCUAUGUAAGAUCUUCUGUUUCCUGAACUUCGUGUGAACAGGUCAGGCGCCUGUUGGACCCCUGGAGCCUGGUUAAUGGGAACGACCACAGUGGGCAUCAAAUGGGUAACUUCAGUACGCCAGCACGGUUGAGAACUAUUGUUCAACGCGAACUUCACAUAUGAAGCCCCUCUCAUGUGUCAGGCACGGCGUCAGAUGCUGAGUUUCGCUCUUUCACCCAGGCUGGAGUGCAGUGGCACGAUCUUGGCUCACUUCAACCUCUGCCUUCCAGUUUCAAGUGAUUCUACUGCCUCAGCCUCCCAAGUAGCUGGGAUUACAGGCACCCACCACUAUGCUCGGCUAAUUUUUUUGUAUUUUCAAUAGUGACAGAGUUUCACCAUAUUGGCCAGGCUGGUGUCGAACUCCUGACCUCAUGAUCUGCCCACCUCUGCCUCCCAAAGUGCUGGGAUUACAGGCGUGAGCCAUCGCGCCCAGCCCAUAAGUUUUAGUGCCUUUUUUUCAUAGAUGCUGAAACUGAAAAAGGGUGUGGUUAAAUAAUUUGCCCAAGCCAGUCUCUGGCAAAGAUGGGAUUCAUAUCCAGCUACUGAUGACCAAACAUGGUGAGCAGGUAUCCUAUGUCCCGAGGAAGCCCAUUCCACCUGAGCACUGGAUGGAAGGGAUAUCGCAAUCACCCCCAUGCAUGAUGGACAGGUCUAGGAGCAUUGGACACUCAAUGGAAACUCAUGCCCCUGUCAGAAAUUGGCAACUGCCACUUCCACGGCACUUGCAAACUUUGCACACGGUCCAGAUGUGGCCUGGCUUGUUGCUGUCAUGGUAGCAAUAGUAAUUACUUAGGGGAUUUCUGCAGAUCUUGCUCAUAUUGUGCAUAAUAGGGUAUAAAAUAUGGAAAAUUUGCCUCUAAAAUAAAGUGUUGCUGGCAAA
ensembl:lncRNA LINC02649 long intergenic non-protein coding RNA 2649